GAAGACCUUAAAAAUUCAAAAUCAUAGUGAUGGAGAUAAAAGGAUGACCAACAAUACAAGAGUUUAAAUAUGUCGACGAAGAUAAUCCAUAACCAAUCUAUAAAUGAAAAUUUGGGCGAGUUUAUUCUGAGCUGAAAUCUGAGGACCACGGCCCGGGGCCUUUCUUCCCAAAGGAAGAAAGGGCACCAAAGAAGUGAGGAGAUGCAAUCACCAACCACCCUGAACCAGACCAAGCCUCACCACAAGAGCCACGCCUAUGACCUAUGCCUUCUUUUUAAUGCUAUGAUGUCUCCAGGAAGAGCUUAGGCCUUAUUACCAUAACCUGCAGUGUAUGCGGAAGCAUGUUUUCCAUCUGAUCCUGUGUAAGCCAAUACCCUUCUCUCCCUUUUGAAUAUUUAUUCAUCAUCCAAAACAAAAGGUCCCUGCUCCCCUUUGUUUGAGGAUGCCAUGACUUUGGAAAUGAUUCUGCAUGGUCUCCUAUUUGCUGCAAAUGUACUUUACUUUAUGAGACAACUGCUUCUGGUGGAGAGUGAUUUAGCUCGUCAGGAGGCAAACCCACUUUGGUUCAGUAACAACCUCACCAAAUUCACCCAAGUCCUAACACCAUGUGCUCUAGAGUUCGACUUGCUGUGUUUGAAUCCUGGCUCUGUCAGUGACUAAUGGUUUGAACUGGGGAAAUUCGCUGAAGCUGCCUGGUCCUCCCCUGUUUCCUCACCUGUUUAGUGUAGGAUUUUUGUGUAGGGUGUAGGAGUGUUGUGAAGUUUCUGGCAUACUGUAAACUCUCAAUAAAUGUUAACUAUUCUUGAUAGCUGAGAGUUUUUAGGGCAUGGCCUCGUGAAGAAAUGGGACUGGAACUAGUCCCAGGAUGGAUGUAAGCAAGACUAGAGUAGAAAGGAGAGAAAAUUCAAACCCAAGGCCCCUAAGAAUCCAUACAGGUCAUGACCCACAUGGCUGAGAGCUCUGAUGCAUGUUGUAGGAGUCACCUUGAGGACUGCUCUGAAGGGUAGAUGUGAAGUAUGUGUACG
rnacentral:lncRNA from 1 species